UACGUAGGUGGCAAGCGUUAUCCGGAAUUAUUGGGCGUAAAGAGCGCGCAGGUGGUUGAUUAAGUCUGAUGUGAAAGCCCACGGCUCAACCGUGGAGGGUCAUUGGAAACUGGUCGACUUGAGUGCAGAAGAGGUAAGUGGAAUUCCUAGUGUAGCGGUGAAAUGCGUAGAUAUUAGGAGGAACACCAGUGGAGAAGGCGACUUACUGGUCCAUAACUGACGCUGAGGCGCGAAAGCGUGGGUAGCGAACAGGAUUAGAUACCCCGGUA
rnacentral:rRNA from 1 species